rnacentral:lncRNA from 1 species
GAGUCGACUCUAGCUUCCUUUGGAGUCGACCUGCCAACCAUCGGAGUCGACUCGAGUUCCUCAGGAGUCGACUCGGCUCUCAGGGUCCAAAAUAGCUUCUCUGUGUUUCUUCCUUGUUACUCCCUGGAGUCGACUCGUACUAUCCAGGAGUCGACUCGAGGACUAUUCUUUUGGAUUUUCCUUUGAAUUUGCUCUUCCAACUUGAGUCCUUUGAACUUGAAACUUGGGCCAAUGAAGUGUAACUUUCUUCCAACUUUUCUUGAGAGCU